CUGUAUGGGGAGAAGUCGUAGCGAAAGCGGCGGUGGACUAUACAGAAGUGAGAAUGCCGGAAUAAGUAGCGAGAAUUAAGUGAGAAUCUUAAUGGCCGAAAGUCUAAGGUUUUUGGAGGAAGGUUCGUCCGCUCCAAGUUAGUCGGGAGCUAAGGUGAGGCCUAACGGCGUAGCCGAUGCACAUACGGUUGAUAUUCCGUAACCAUCUGUAAUUUAAGCAAAGGGACACUUCAAAAGGGUGUGACCCGGGCGUUGGUUGACCCGGGCGUAAGGGACCGAAAUUAGAGUAGGGAAGCACACUUAGCUGAAGGCGAGAAAAGCUUUGCGUAUAGAAACAGAUGCCCGUACCGCAAACCGACACAGGUGGACAGGAAGAGAAUUCUAAGGCCAGCGGGAGAAGGGUAGUUAAGGAACUCGGCAAAUUGACUCCGUAACUUCGGAAUAAGGAGUGCUCGAAAGAGCCGCAGAGAAUAGGCCCAGGCGACUGUUUAGCAAAAACACAGGUCUCUGCCAAAUCGAAAGAUGAAGUAUAGGGGCUGACACCUGCCCGGUGCCGGAAGGUUAAGAGGAGGAGUGAGAGCUCCGAAUUGAAGCCCCGGUAAACGGCGGCCGUAACUAUAACGGUCCUAAGGUAGCGAAAUUCCUUGUCGGGUAAGUUCCGACCCGCACGAAUGGUGUAACGAUCUGGGCACUGUCUCAACUACCCACCCGGCGAAAUUGUAGUACCGGUGAAGAUGCCGGUUACCUGCGGCAAGACGGAAAGACCCCAUGGAGCUUUACUGUAGCCUGAUAUUGGGUUUCGGAAAUCUAUGUACAGGAUAGGCGGGAGACUGGGAAACAUGAGCGUCAGCUUGUGUGGAGUCGAUGUUGGGAUACCGCCCUUAGGUUUCUGGAAUUCUAACCUGCGGCCGUGAAUCCGGUCGGGGGACACUGUUAGGUGGGCAGUUUGACUGGGGCGGUCGCCUCCGAAAAGGUAACGGAGGCGCUCAAAGGUUAGCUCAGCACGGACGGAAACCGUGCCUCUGAGUGUAAACGCAAAAGCUAGCCUAACUGCGAGGGUGACGGCCCGAGCAGUAACGAAAGUUGGAGUUAGUGAUCC
rnacentral:rRNA from 1 species